CCGGGACGGGUCGUCGCCAUGCAGUCGAGCGGAUGACGGGAGCUUGCUCCUGGAUUCAGCGGCGGACGGGUGAGUAAUGCCUAGGAAUCUGCCUGGUAGUGGGGGACAACGUUUCGAAAGGAACGCUAAUACCGCAUACGUCCUACGGGAGAAAGCAGGGGACCUUCGGGCCUUGCGCUAUCAGAUGAGCCUAGGUCGGAUUAGCUUGUUGGUGAGGUAAUGGCUCACCAAGGCGACGAUCCGUAACUGGUCUGAGAGGAUGAUCAGUCACACUGGAACUGAGACACGGUCCAGACUCCUACGGGAGGCAGCAGUGGGGAAUAUUGGACAAUGGGCGAAAGCCUGAUCCAGCCAUGCCGCGUGUGUGAAGAAGGUCUUCGGAUUGUAAAGCACUUUAAGUUGGGAGGAAGGGUUGUAGAUUAAUACUCUGCAAUUUUGACGUUACCGACAGAAUAAGCACCGGCUAACUCUGUGCCAGCAGCCGCGGUAAUACAGAGGGUGCAAGCGUUAAUCGGAAUUACUGGGCGUAAAGCGCGCGUAGGUGGUUUGUUAAGUUGGAUGUGAAAGCCCCGGGCUCAACCUGGGAACUGCAUCCAAAACUGGCAAGCUAGAGUACGGUAGAGGGUGGUGGAAUUUCCUGUGUAGCGGUGAAAUGCGUAGAUAUAGGAAGGAACACCAGUGGCGAAGGCGACCACCUGGACUGAUACUGACACUGAGGUGCGAAAGCGUGGGGAGCAAACAGGAUUAGAUACCCUGGUAGUCCACGCCGUAAACGAUGUCAACUAGCCGUUGGAAUCCUU
rnacentral:rRNA from 1 species